CGGGAACUCUGAUACAGGUGCUGCAUGGCUGUCGUCAGCUCGUGUCGUGAGAUGUUGGGUUAAGUCCCGUAACGAGCGCAACCCUUAUCCUUAUUUGCCAGCACUUCGGGUGGGAACUAUAAGGAGACUGCCGGUGAUAAACCGGAGGAAGGCGGGGACGACGUCAAGUCAUCAUGGCCCUUACGACCAGGGCUACACACGUGCUACAAUGGGAAGGACAAAGGGUCGCUAAGCCGCGAGGUGGUGCUAAUCUCAUAAACCUUUUCGUAGUCCGGAUCGGAGUCUGCAACUCGACUCCGUGAAGUCGGAAUCGCUAGUAAUCGUGGAUCAGAACGUCACGGUGAAUACGUUCCCGGGUCUUGUACACACCGCCCGUCAU
rnacentral:rRNA from 1 species